ensembl:lncRNA
CAGAGUUGCUCUCUGAAGUAGGAGGAGGACCCAUAAUUUGAGAUCACGGAGCCUAUAAUAGGAGUAGGGUUAUGGCAACUGCUACCGCCUCUCAGCACUGCUCCGAUAAAGGAGGAGGUAUAGGUGAGUACAGUUUUGUUCAUUUGUGUGUGUUUUUUAAAUGUAUUUGAACUACGCAAGUGUUCGCAAUAGUCUGAGUUUAAUCUUCAUUUAUAUUUUAAUUAUUCUGAUAUUAUCUGACUUUGUCUCUUCCUAUUCGCUAUCACUUCUUCUUCUUCCUCUUUCCCCCCUGAGUGAACUGCCUCCGUUUUGACGCAUGGAAACGUUUUUAAGUGGCAAAGAAGAAUUGAAUGAAAGAUGAUGCAUGCCACUUAAAAUGCCUGAGGGAGCAAGCGUAAUCUAAAUUGGAUAUAGAAGCUAUUAUUACACAACAUUAUGCGUUGUGGCGGACUAAUUGCGUGGCUGGAUCCAUGUUGAUGAAGUCACCAAGCAGUCAGUGAAAUGCACCCUUCAAACACACAAGCACCCUUGCAAUUACAGCUUAAGUUAAACAACCUUGUUCACAUUUUGAAAUGAUAAUUAAAAAAUACAUACUCAAAAAGUCAGUUCUGUGUUUAUAUAACUGUAAUAAUUUAUCCGUUUUUUAACUCUUUUAUAGUUUUUAAAUAUGCUGCAUUGCUGCUAUUCCCGUGAUUUUAUUCGAGAUAGAAUCCCUCAAUGUUUUACGUAGUAUCACCACUUUUGCUCACACAAACUGAUGCCCAUGAUUCGAUGGGUUGAUUUGACUUUAAUAAUCAUACAAUUUACAUGAAGCACAAUAAUUCAAUAUGGCUUUCAGGGGAGAGAAUCUAUUUUCUGAUCUCCUUUCUGUUCUUGUGAUCUCUUUUUCUUUUAUUGACCUGAAUGAAGAUGUAUGGAGUGAGAGUGUGUGUGUGUCUUUGGUUUCCUCCUGAUGGGGUAUAUCAGCUCCCCCCUCUUCUCCCUACUCCCCACGAUCCCCGCAAGGCUGAAUGGCAGGCCUCUGGAUUGGCUAAGUGAUGAAAUGAUGACCCUAUUAUGGGAAGCGAUUCCAAAAUGAGAGAUAUCAGAAGAAGAUUACACCCCUCUCUCACUGCCACGCCAUCCUCCUGCAAUACACUGCCAGCUGCGCAGAUGAUGAUUGAUUCGCUUGAGAUGGAUCACAGGAAGCACCCAUUGAUUUUUCUGUGUUUUAUCAAAAAUAUUUAUUUACAGUUGUAUCCAUAGGGUGUAUCCAGACUCAACCCAUACUUCGUUCUCCAAAUGGGGGUUGGUAUAAAAGGGAUAAUUCCCCCUGUUCCAUGACAAGACGAAUGACCUGAAGUAUUAUUUCAGAAAUGAGUCAAUAGGCUCAGUGAGUAAAUGAAUAUUGAUUGGAUAUAAUGAAGCCUGAGUGUGAAUAUGAGCCCUGUUGCAGACUUCACUGCAGUGAUGCUGAUCCUCUCCAACUGAGUAUUUUGCAGACCUGCAUGUGCAGCUGGGACCAAAUACACCUCAUUCAGAGGGUGAAUCAACACACUCAGCAUUCAACUUUUCCUGUGUAUUUUGAUUCAUGAUCUGAGAGUGUCCAUACUUGACUCGCUUCUUAUCAGAUCUAUGGCUAAAUAGCAUGUUUAUGGUGAAGGUGCUAUAGGUGCCAUAUGGCAAUAAUCCAAGACUCAUGUUACUUAAAAGCUCUGGAGACAUGUAGGAGGCAUUUCUGUGUCACCUUUACAAAGGUAAACUGAUACAACAUACAAAUCAAAUGACAACUAGAAUGCUAAAACCACAGUGUGGGAGCUGUGCCCUAGAUAUUUGCACUGACUUAAUCCAAUUGAAAUAGUAUGAGUGAGUUGCAGGGGCUCCCAGGUCUGUUGCUUGCUUAUGUAUGUGAUGCAUAAUAGAAGUUGACGAGGUUGGUGAUAGAUCACAGCCCAGGUAAUGUAAACACAUUAAUCCCUCAGGGUUCAUGUGCAUGUUCUUUCUCUCCUUUUCUCUUAUAUCAGUCCCUCUCUCUCUAUCUGUCUCUCUCUUUCUCUCUCUUCAAGCCCUCAUCCUCCCCCCUCCACGUUCAUCAUCUUCCCUAAACGCGUUAGUGGAGCACAAACCAGAAGCAGCCUUAAUCUGUCAACAUGCCCUUUAAUUGGAGGGAGAAAACAACACGUGCUUCUGGUUAUGCCAUUCCUAAGUGCACAUGCCAAAGAAACACAGAGUUCAUGGAAGAAGUGAUCCCGGGAGAGCAGGGCAUAAUUAAAAGUAUCUUUUAAUAGGCUUGUAAUGCUGAGCCUGACUCUUGUUGCUUUAAGUAGAGGGCGAACUCUGUGGCUGGAGACGGACAUGCAAGGGGCUUCUGCUGAGGGAGCCUGUAAACGAUACAUUGCCUCGUCGUCAUCAGACAUGCAGUCUCUGCCUCAGUCACCACACUCGAGAUGACAGCCACUUUCCACCCCUGCCGCGGACACCUUGGCUUACCCGUUGCCGUGUUCUUUUGUUCUCAGAAUGAGAGAUUCUCCUCCACGACAUCACCUCUCCUCAUCUCCUUCCCAGCCACUUUGGCAAGUUGUGUUCUACCUCCUACUCACAGCACCAGCGGGGAGUGAGAACUGGGACUAAGGGGUUGAUUUGGGGCCUGCUACACUGUAAUCAAAUGAGACUGCUUAGGGGAGAGGAGAAGGAGGAGGUGGAGUAUUAUGUUCUGUCGUGCAUUCCACUGCAGCAUUGUUGCUUUUUUGUUUUUGUCAGGGCAGGCUUUGAUGCUGUAUCCUCUUACCUUUGUAGUCCCGGUAGCCAUGUUUCAUAAACACGGAAUGGGAAACAUCCUCAGCAUUAGAAAUUUAGAUUGCUGCUUUCCUCCUGCCACUCUGCAUUCCGCACGUGCCCGGUCGCAUUCUCCAUCUCCCAUUGCUGAGUAACCAUUUUGUCCGACAUCUGACACACUGCCCUGGGUUAUUGAGCCAGACGUGGAAAUCCAAAGCGGAGAUGCUCUCCUUAAUGCCUGACACCUGGUGCAGAUUUGGAAGGGAUUGCACUACAGGGUGUGCUUUACAAGUGGACGCUACUCAGGAGUGUUGCAGCUCACCUUACCGCUUGCAGUCACAUCUGCAGACUGUGCUGGAGCAGAAUGGCUAGCGAACAUAAACACAGCAAGGACAUCAAAGGCCGGCAGUCUUAUUUAUUGAUAUUAGUAAUGCAGCUGUCAUUCUGCAAUGAGAUCUGUCCUCUGUCUGGGUGAAUGCUGAUAAGAUGACACAAUGCAAAUAUGAAGUGUGAUGGAGCCGCCUUGGCAAGCAGGUACAGAGUGUGCAGGGACCAG